GUAACGGCGAGUGAAGCGGCAACAGCUCAAAUUUGAAAUCUGGCUCCUUCGGGGUCCGAAUUGUAAUUUGUAGAGAGUGCUUCGGGCGAGACCUCGGUCUAAGUCCAUUGGAACAUGGUGUCAUAGAGGGUGAGAAUCCCGUAUGCGACCGUGGCUCGAGCCCAUGUGAAGCCUCUUCGACGAGUCGAGUUGUUUGGGAAUGCAGCUCAAAAUGGGUGGUAAAUUUCAUCUAAAGCUAAAUACUGGCUGGAGACCGAUAGCGCACAAGUAGAGUGAUCGAAAGAUGAAAAGCACUUUGGAAAGAGAGUCAAACAGUACGUGAAAUUGUUGAAAGGGAAGCGCUUGCAACCAGACCUGCCCGUAGGCGAUCAGCCGCUGUUCUCAGCGGUGUACUCGCUCUGCGAUCAGGCCAGCAUCGGUUUCGGCGGUCGGAUAAAGACCUUGGGAAUGUAGCUUCCCUUCGGGGAAGUCUUAUAGCCCUCGGUGCAAUGCGGCCAGCCGGGACCGAGGACCGCGCUUCGGCUAGGAUGCUGGCGUAAUGGUUGUAAGCGACCCGUCUUGAAACACGGACCAAGGAGUCUAACAUCUAUGCGAGUGUUUGGGUGUCAAACCCAUACGCGGAAUGAAAGUGAACGGAGGUGAGAACCCUCAAGGGCGCAUCAUCGACCGAUCCAGAUGUCUUCGGAUGGAUUUGAGUAUGAGCAUAGCUGUUGGGACCCGAAAGAUGGUGAACUAUGCCUGAAUAGGGUGAAGCCAGAGGAAACUCUGGUGGAGGCUCGCAGCGGUUCUGACGUGCAAAUCGAUCGUCAAAUUUGGGUAUAGGGGCGAAAGA
rnacentral:rRNA from 1 species